rnacentral:tRNA from 1 species
AGGAGUGUAGCUCAAUUGGUAGAGCACCGGUCUCCAAAACCGGGUGUUGGGGGUUCGACUCCUCUCACUCCUGCCA